AUUGAACGCUGGCGGCAUGCCUAAUACAUGCAAGUCGAACGAGGCGCGGAGGGGUGAGCAAUGUCUGGGAACCUGCCCGACGGAGGGGGCUAACUACUGGAAAAGGUAGCUAAUACCGCAUACCUCUCGAUGCGCCCUGAGUGGUUUAGCGAGUAGGUGGGGUAACGGCUCACCAAGGCGACGCUCCCUAGCUGGUCUGAGAGGAUGACCGGCCACACUGGGACUGAGACACGGCCCAAACUCCUACGGGAGGCAGCAGUGGGGAAUAUUCCACAAUGGGCGCAAGCCUGAUGGAGCAAUGCCGCGUGUGUGAAGAAGGCCUUCGGGUUGUAAAGUACUUUCGGCGGGGAAGCGUUACUCACAGAGAAAGCAACGGCUAACUCCGUGCCAGCAGCCGCGGUAAUUC
rnacentral:rRNA from 1 species